ACCGGCAAACGGGUGUGGAACACGUACACAACCUUCCUUCAAGUGGGGGAUAGCCCAGGGAAACUUGGAUUAAUACCCCGUAACAUUACAGAGUGGCAUCGCUUUGUAAUUAAAGCUCCGGCGCUUGAUGAUGGGUGUGCGCCUGAUUAGGUAGUUGGCGGGGUAACGGCCCACCAAGCCUUCGAUCAGUAACUGGUGUGAGAGCACGACCAGUCACACGGGCACUGAGACACGGGCCCGACUCCUACGGGAGGCAGCAGUAAGGAAUAUUGGUCAAUGGACGCAAGUCUGAACCAGCCAUGCCGCGUGGAGGAUGAAGGUCCUCUGGAUUGUAAACUUCUUUUAUCUGGGAAGAAAUCCACCUUUUCUAAGGUGGUUGACGGUACCAGUUGAAUAAGCACCGGCUAACUCCGUGCCAGCAGCCGCGGUAAUACGGAGGGUGCAAGCGUUAUCCGGAUUCACUGGGUUUAAAGGGUGCGUAGGUGGAUUGGUAAGUCCGUGGUGAAAUCCCCGAGCUUAACUUGGGAACUGCCAUGGAUACUAUCAGUCUUGAAUACCGUGGAGGUCAGUGGAAUAUGUCAUGUAGCGGUGAAAUGCUUAGAUAUGACAUAGAACACCCAUUGCGAAGGCAGCUGACUACGCGGAGAUUGACGCUGAGGCACGAAAGCGUGGGGAUCAAACAGGAUUAGAUACCCUGGUA
rnacentral:rRNA from 1 species